rnacentral:rRNA from 1 species
GAUGAACGCUGGCGGCGUGCCUAAUACAUGCAAGUCGAGCGAACAGACGAGGAUCUUUCUCCUCUUACGUUAGCGGCGGACGGGUGAGUAACACGUGGAUAACCUCCCUAUAAGACUGGCAUACCUUCGCGAAACCGGAGCUAAUACCGGAUAAUAUAUUGAACCGCAUGGUUCAUUAGUGAAAGCCGGUUUUGCUGUCACUUAUAGAUGGAUCCUGGCCGCAUUAGCUAGUUGGUAAGGUAACGGCUUACCAAGGCGACGAUGCGUAGCCGACCUGAGAGGGUGAUCGGCCACACUGGAACUGAGACACGGUCCAGACUCCUACGGGAGGCAGCAGUAGGGAAUAUUCGGCAAUGGGCGAAAGCCUGAUGGAGCAACGCCGCGUGAGUGAUGAAGGUCUUCGGAUCGUAAAACUCUGUAAGUAGGGAAGAAGAAAAGUGUAAGUAACUAUGCACGUCUUGACGGUACCUAAAGAGAAAGCAACGGCUAACUACGUG